rnacentral:misc_RNA from 1 species
UAAGAUGGCGCCUGACAGAA